AAAUUGAAGAGUUUGAUCAUGGCUCAGAUUGAACGCUGGCGGCAGGCCUAACACAUGCAAGUCGAACGGUAGCACAGAGAGCUUGCUCUCGGGUGACGAGUGGCGGACGGGUGAGUAAUGUCUGGGAAACUGCCUGAUGGAGGGGGAUAACUACUGGAAACGGUGGCUAAUACCGCAUAACGUCGCAAGACCAAAGAGGGGGACCUUCGGGCCUCUUGCCAUCAGAUGUGCCCAGAUGGGAUUAGCUAGUUGGUGAGGUAAUGGCUCACCAAGGCGACGAUCCCUAGCUGGUCUGAGAGGAUGACCAGCCACACUGGAACUGAGACACGGUCCAGACUCCUACGGGAGGCAGCAGUGGGGAAUAUUGCACAAUGGGCGCAAGCCUGAUGCAGCCAUGCCGCGUGUAUGAAGAAGGCCUUCGGGUUGUAAAGUACUUUCAGCGGGGAGGAAGGAGUUGUGGUUAAUAACCGCAGCAAUUGACGUUACCC
rnacentral:rRNA from 1 species